rnacentral:rRNA from 1 species
AAUACGUUCCCGGGCCUUGUACACACCGCCCGUCAAGCCAUGGAAGUUGGGAGUACCUGAAGUCCCCUAGCAAUAGGAGCCUAGGGUAAAAUACAAUGACUGGGGCU